GGCUCUUGAGACUUAGCCGCUGUCUCGCCGUGUCCCGGGUCGACCGGCGGGCCUUCUCCACCGAGCGGCGUGUAAGAGUGCCCGUCGGGACGAACCGCAACCGGAGCGUCCCCGUCUCGGUCGGCACCUCCGGGGUCGACCAGCUGCCGCCCGCGAGCUCUGGACUUAGCCGGCGCCUGCACGUGUCCCGGGUCGACCAGCAGGCGGCCGCCGGACGCUGCGGCGCACCGACGCGAGGGCGUCGACUCCGGUUCACGCGCCGGCGACCUCCACCGGCCUCGGCCCGCGGUGGAGCUGGGACCACGCGGAACUCCCUCUCCUACAUUUUUUUCAGCCCCACUGCGAGUUUGCGUCCGCGGGACUUUUAAGAGGGAGUCACUGCUGCCGUCAGCCAGUAAUGCUUCCUCCUUUUUUGCUUUUUGGUUUUGCCUUGCGUUUUCUUUCUUUCUUUCUUUCUUUCUUUCUUUCUUUCUUUCUUUCUCUCUCUCUCUCUCUCUCUCUCUCUCUCUCUGUCUCUCUCCCCUCCCUCCCUCCUUGGUGCCUUCUCGGCUCGCUGCUGCUGCUGCCUCUGCCUCCACGGUUCAAGCAAACAGCAAGUUUUCUAUUUCGAGUAAAGACGUAAUUUCACCAUUUUGGCCGGGCUGGUCUCGAACUCCCGACCUAGUGAUCCGCCCGCCUCGGCCUCCCAAAGACUGCUGGGAGUACAGAUGUGAGCCACCAUGCCCGGCCGAUUCCUUCCUUUUUUCAAUCUUAUUUUCUGAACGCUGCCGUGUAUGAACAUACAUCUACACAUACACACACACACACACACACACACACACACACACACCCCGUAGUGAUAAAACUAUGUAAAUGAUAUUUCCAUAAUUAAUACGUUUAUAUUAUGUUACUUUUAAUGGAUGAAUAUGUAUCGAAGCCCCAUUUCAUUUACAUACACGUGUAUGUAUAUCCUUCCUCCCUUCCUUCAUUCAUUAUUUAUUAAUAAUUUUCGUUUAUUUAUUUUCUUUUCUUUUGGGGCCGGCCCGCCUGGUCUUCUGUCUCUGCGCUCUGGUGACCUCAGCCUCCCAAAUAGCUGGGACUACAGGGAUCUCUUAAGCCCGGGAGGGAGAGGUUAACGUGGGCUGUGAUCGCACACUUCCACUCCAGCUUACGUGGGCUGCGGUGGGGUGGGGUGGGGUGGGGUGGGGUGGGGUGGGGUGGGGUGGGGUGCAGAGAAAACGAUUGAUUGCGAUCUCAAUUGCCUUUUAGCUUCAUUCAUACCCUGUUAUUUGCUCGUUUAUUCUCAUGGGUUCUUCUGUGUCAUUGUCACGUUCAUCGUUUGCUUGCCUGCUUGCCUGUUUAUUUCCUUCCUUCCUUCCUUCCUUCCUUCCUUCCUUCCUUCCUUCCUUCCUUCCCUCCCUUACUGGCAGGGUCUUCCUCUGUCUCUGCCGCCCAGGAUCACCCCAACCUCAACGCUUUGGACCGACCAAACGGUCGUUCUGCCUCUGAUCCCUCCCAUCCCCAUUACCUGAGACUACAGGCGCGCACCACCACACCGGCUGACUUUUAUGUUGUUUCUCAUGUUUUCCGUAGGCGUCAUCUCACGUGUCGAGGUGAUCUCGAACUUUUAGGCUCCAGAGAUCCUCCCGCAUCGGCCUCCCGGAGUGCUGUGAUGACACGCGUGGGCACGACGGAGUUUCACUCUUGUCGCCCAGGGUGGAGUACGAUGGCGGCUCUCGGCUCACCGCACCCUCCGCCUCCCAGGUUCAAGUGAUUCUCCUGCCUCAGCCUUCCCGAGUAGCUGGAAUGACAGAGAUGAGCCAUCGUGCCCGGCUAAUUUUUCUAUUUUUAGUACAGAUGGGGUUUCUCCAUCUUGGUCAGGCUGGUCUUCAACUUCCGACCGUUGGAGAAUCUUAACUUUCUUGGUGGUGGUUGUUUUCCUUUUUCUUUUUUUUUCUUUUCUUUUCUUUCCUUCUCCUCCCCCCCCCACCCCCCCUUGUCGUCCUCCUCCUCCUCCUCCUCCUCCUCCUCCUCCUCCUCUUUCAUUUCUUUCAGCUGGGCUCUCCUACUUGUGUUGCUCUGUUGCUCACGCUGGUCUCAAACUCCUGGCCUUGACGCUUCUCCCGUCACAUCCGCCGUCUGGUUGUUGAAAUGAGCAUCUCUCGUAAAAUGGAAAAGAUGAAAGAAAUAAACACGAAGACGGAAA